UCGAGAGGAAACUGGAAUCUUUAUUGCACUUUGGACAGGAGUAUGUAAUAUUCAUUAAUGUCAGCGUAUGAAAAGAGCAGGUCUAAAUAUUUUUGUAGGGCUAUUGCAUAACGUGAAGGGGGAGGGAAUAUGUUUCAACUGCUUCCAGGACUCCUGCAAAAUGUUAAACAAAGGAAAGACAGUCUGACUCCAGCAAUUAGGCGGCCAAUAAGAGCGAGCCGUUCUACACCGAGGUCAGGGUUGACGUGCCGGAUUGGCCAGCGCAGGAGGAAUCCACUUCCUGUGUGAAUUAGACUGUGAGGAGUCGGUGAAAGUAGCGCUGGAUGAAAAGGACACCACGGCGCGGCCAGAGCUUCAGACUCGCUUUAAGCAGAUGCAAACGUGUGUGUGUGUCUGGGGUCGAGAACGGAGACGCGAUUCCAUCUCUUCAAAUAUACUGGAACAAAACUCUCCUGCACGAGCACUGAAGCUGCAGCGCCACGGCGAGAGAAAUUACCUGUUAUCUCAGGUGCAACUGAAUGCCAUGAGGUGGAAUGAACGGCACAACAUAAUACAAUUAUAAUGAAUAGACAAUGCAUGUGUUAAUUGUGUCGUCCUUGUUGUUGUCAUGCAACAAACAAAGCACAACCAGAGUGUGACUCUUAUGAGUCAGUUCUCUUCAUUGAAAAGUCAAAAUGACUUACUGACUGACUCGUGAAUCCUGUAACUGAAAUGAAUCGGGAACCAGAACAGAGCAUCCUAACCAGACGUAAUAAAAGUUGAAAGAAAGUCUGGAAUGACACGAGGGAGAGUAAAUGAAGACAGAACGGGCAUAUUUGAGUUAACUUAUCCCUUUAAUCAGAGAUUUACACGAUGAGCAACAGGCGCUUGUAUUUUUGGACUGGUUUCUACACCACAGCUGACAGUUCAGAUAUGGUUACCUACAAGACAACUAUCCCAGCAGAUUAAAGAAGAUUAAAGUUCUUAAGAAAAGCACUGCGAAAAGUAGCAACAGUCAAAAACAGUUUGCAGAUAUGCAGACAAGAGGGCAAGAUGGUACAGUACGGCUGCUGAUUUUAUCAAACUCAAAUGCUUUCUACAGAAAUCCACAACAUUUAUCUCUCUGCACACUGAAAAAACAUUGUAGGAUUUACUCUGAAUCAUCUUUUACUCAGAAAUUGCUAGUUAAUUUCACAAAUAAUUAAUAAUUAAAACAUAGAAUUUUGAGGUAGAAAGACUGAAACAGUAUUUCUUUGUAAAACAAACUAUUUUGUAAUAAAUUUAAUAACAAUAUAUAUAUAUUGUUAUUAAAUUUAUUACAAAAUAGUUUUUUUUUUACGAAAUGAGCGAAAAGU